rnacentral:lncRNA from 1 species
CUUUUUCUCUUCUUUUUUUAAAUUUUAAUUUAAUUAUACAAGACGGAGUCUCAGUAUGUUGCCCAGGCUGGUCUUGGACUCCUGAGCUCAAGUGAUACAUCCGUCUCCGCCUCCCAAAGUGCUGGGAUUACAGGCCUGAGACACUGUGCCCGGCCUUAAACACAAAUCUUAAUUCAUUCUUACAACUAUCCUGGGGUUAGAAAAAUGGAAGGGGAAGAAAAAUGGCAAGCAGGCAGGCUGACUUCGGCUUCAUUAUUUGGAAGGACAGUUUGCUCGGUUAAAACACACUACUGCCCACAAAGGCCAAGACAACAGAAAAAUACAGACUUAUAUAAAUAGAUUUUAUAUGUGACAGCAGUUUGAAUGGAGACUUUUUCAAUGCAAAUGACAAACAGCUGUCCUUGGGAAUAAAUGACAACGAAUUUUUUUAUCUCAACAUCUGUCCUGAGAGCACGUCUCUACAUCUCUACCUGCAUUCUGGAAACCGGGAGAAAGCCAAAACGGACGACAAGACACUAGAUCAGCCGUGUCCAACCCUGUGACUACAAGGACUUUUCCGCCUAUCUUUGGUGGGGUUCCUGGCAAGUCAGUUCUCCCUCAGGCCUUUGGUUUCCUCACCUACAAGAUGAGAGGGCCGGACCAGAUGGAAAUUCGGGGGUAAGGGGAUGUCCGCGCGCAGCCCACCCCCACCCUCCCCGCCCCACGGGACCCUAGAGCCUCCAUCCCAGUUCCCACCAAGCACUCGCCCCACAAAUCCUGCCCAAGGUGAGGGCUGGUCCCGGGUCUCUCGGCUGCCCCAUCAGCGAGUGCAGGAGGGAGGGGAAGCCUCCAAGGGCGCGACGCGGGCUCAAGGAUGCAACUCGGCCAGGAGUGAACUGGGGCCUCAAGGGAGGUGUCCGGGCCGCUCCUCGAGCCCAGCCCGGGUCCCCAAACCCCUUACCUCCAGGGUCCGUAUCUCCUGCUCGG